rnacentral:lncRNA from 1 species
GCAGGAAAAGAUGGAAAGAGGAGCAAACUAGCGGCUCCAUGGGAACAUUUAUUCCUCUUUGCUCUUUUAAUUGUUUUUUUUUUUUAAACUUUUUUUAUAAAAUUCUUUUUGAGAUUGGGUCUUACUGAUUUACUCUAUAGAUCAGUUGACCCUGAACUCACAAAGAUUCAUUUGCCUCUGGCUCCCAAGUGCUGGGAUUAAAAGUAUGUGCUACCCUGCCCAGCUUCUCUCUGCUUUAGAUUGGGGGUGUUUUCUGAUGGGCCAAUUGAUCCUGCCUUGAUUUCUCCUAAGUGAUGGGCUAUAGCCUGCAAUUGUAAGCCAGCAAAACUCUCUCUUCCCUUCAAUUGCUUUUGUUCAGAAUGUUUUAACAGAGCAACAGAAAUAAAGCUACAACAAAUGUAGGUUAACUGCAUUGCACUGGUAUUAUAAAGGUGCACACAGUGGAGGCAUAAUAGGACUAGAUCUCCUGCAGUCUCAUGCUGCUCAGGAGACAGUACUCAGCUUUGUAGCUGUGGGUCUCAGGCCCUCGUUCCAGUUCUACAGAAGAAUGAAGAGCCCUGCGAAGCUCUGCUCCUAUAGCAAAUGGCUGUUGAUAUCAUGGCUGGAAUUCAGAAACUGAAAGGAAGAAGUUUAAAUAUGUAUUAACUGUGAACCCAUAGCAUGCUAUUAUUAAUAAACUUUUUUAGAAAAAGUAAUUAUAAAUUUCCCCAAGAAAUGUUACUGAGAAUUGUUAGGUAGCUGGGGAGAACAGGAGUAAUUCAAUAGCUUUUCCAGGUAAUUGUGAAUCUUCUUUGCUCCUGUGUAGUGUGAAAUCUGAAACAAAUAUCAAUGACCUUUUUGUACUUUAUCACAUAAAAGCACAUUGAUCUAUCAUGUGUUUUAAGUGAGUCUUUAACCAAUUUGUAAUUUUGUUUCAUAAAUUGGUCAUCAGGAAAUACUCGCUCACUAAAGUAUUUGGACUCUUUGAACAUUGGCAUAUUUUAAUAUACUAUCCCUAAGAACACCAUACUGACCUCAUUAGAAAUAAGUAAGUGUUGGAGAAAUGUUUCACAGUUAAGAGCACUGGAUGCCACCCUAGAGGACCUGGGUUUGAUUCCCAGCACCCACAUAGCAGUUCACACCUGUUUGUACCACCAGAUCUAGGGGACCUGAUUCCUCUUCUGACCACUGGGCCUGCACACAUGUGGUGCACAUAUACUUCCGCACAUACCAUACACAUAAAUUAAAAAAAAAAAACCUAGAGAAACGAUGGGAAACUGUCAAGGUUAUAGUGUCGGACACAGGUUUUCCACAAUUCUAAUUCUCACUCACCAGAGAACUCAGUUUUUAUCAUUUGCAACAAAUAUUAUUACUUUUAGGAAGACCAUUGUAUUCAAUGUAUUAACCAUUGAAGUUGAAAGGUCAUAAUUUGACCAUUGGCUGUUCUUUCAAGUAAAAGCAAUCUUUAUGGAGAAAAAGGAGAUAAUAUUAAUCCAGCUUGCAAAUCAAAGAGCCAGAUGAGUGCUUUUCCUUGAGAUAGCGACCACAUUUUGGUUUUUAGCAAGAAUCUUUGCACACAUAGUACUCAUUUUACAACUAAGCUCAUAAAAAAAGACAUGUGCUUCUUUACUGUAACUAACCACUUUUCUGUUUAUCAAAGAUAAUAAAUAACAAUGGUCAUUUUAUUUUCUGUGCUAUGAACACAUGGCAUUGCAGUGGUGAGGGUAAAAAAACUCAGUAUUAUUAUGGUUUUUAUUGCAUAGAUCCUCAGAAAAAAAUUAGGGACACUGAGGGGGUCCACAGACCAUGAUUUGAAAACAGCUGAACUAGAGGAAUGAUUGACAGCUUCACCCUUGAGACGCUGGGACACACAGCUAGAGUAGAAUCUAACUAUAUCUGAUAUCCUGCCCCAUCUCAGUGCAGGUCUUGUCUUUUAUCAGAGGGAAGAGCAAGUCUGCUGUGGGAAAUGACAUCGACUGCAGCCCUGCAGUUACAUGUAGUACUCGACAUGUAAUCAAACAUUAUGAGAAAGGACUUUGCUUCCAGCCACAAGGGAGUAGCAGGAUCCGGAAUUGCCUUUUCUUAAUAAGCAGCUAGGAAACUGGACAGUGUUCAUGAAACAACUGUCUUCCUGUAUUGGACAAAAAGCAACACAGCACUGUCAUCCCACAGGGAAGGAAAACAGAAGACAUAGCUCUAUGCUUAUUUUGGCUUUCUGCCUAGAAGUAACCAUCAGAUUAUGAUGCAGGGAAGAGAAACCUUAACAGUACCCUGUUAGUGCAGUGUCCGUGGACAUUGCUGAGAGCUCUGGGAGGCCCUGAUGGGAAGAACAUACAGGGCAGAUAGAGGUCUAGAUAUCUGGGUAGUUACUUUAAGUCCUUCAUAUGGGUAGAGAGACGUUCUGCAGACUUUGGAAAUCCACACCUUUAGGUUAUAGCUAAAUUAGUUGUAAACAACAGCAUUAUAAAACUGAGUAUGUAAUUACAACGCUUGGGGGACCGGGCUGGAGGAAUGCAGUGAGUUUCAAGGCAACUAGGCUGGGACCUUAUCUU